rnacentral:rRNA from 1 species
GCUUACGGCCAUACCACCCUGAGCGCGCCCGAUCUCGUCUGAUCUCGGAAGCUAAGCAGGGUCGGGCCUGGUUAGUACUUGGAUGGGAGACCGCCUGGGAAUACCAGGUGCUGUAAGCUUUA